ACUGGCGGCGGCCUACCAUGCAAGUCGAGCGGUAACAGGGGUAGCUUGCUACCCGCUGACGAGCGGCGGACGGGUGAGUAAUGCAUAGGAAUCUGCCCGAUAGUGGGGGAUAACCUGGGGAAACCCAGGCUAAUACCGCAUACGUCCUACGGGAGAAAGGGGGCUCCGGCUCCCGCUAUUGGAUGAGCCUAUGUCGGAUUAGCUAGUUGGUGAGGUAAAGGCUCACCAAGGCGACGAUCCGUAGCUGGUCUGAGAGGAUGAUCAGCCACAUCGGGACUGAGACACGGCCCGAACUCCUACGGGAGGCAGCAGUGGGGAAUAUUGGACAAUGGGCGAAAGCCUGAUCCAGCCAUGCCGCGUGUGUGAAGAAGGCCCUCGGGUUGUAAAGCACUUUCAGCAAGGAAGAACGCCUAGUGGUUAAUACCCUUUAGGAAAGACUUCACUCGGAGAAAAAACGCCGGCUAACUCCGUGCCAGCAGCCGCGGUAAUACCGAGGGUGCAAGCGUUAGUCGGAAUUACUGGGCGUACAGCGCGCGUAGGUGGCUUGAUAAGCCGGUUGUGAAAGCCCCGGGCUCAACCUGGGAACGGCAUCCGGAACUGUCAAGCUAGAGUGCAGGAGAGGAAGGUAGAAUUCCCGGUGUAGCGGUGAAAUGCGUAGAGAUCGGGAGGAAUACCAGUGGCGAAGGCGGCCUUCUGGACUGACACUGACACUGAGGUGCGAAAGCGUGGGUAGCAAACAGGAUUAGAUACCCUGGUAGUCCACGCCGUAAACGAUGUCGACCAGCCGGUGGGUGCCUAGCGCAGUUUUUGGCCAAGUUAACCCGAUAAGUCGACCGCCUGGGGAAUACGGCCGCAACCUUAAAACUCAAAUGAAUUGACGGGGGCCCGCACAAGCGGUGGAGCAUGUGGUUUAAUUCGAUGCAACGCGAAGAACCUUACCUACUCUUGACAUCCUGCGAACUUGUGAGAGAUCACUUGGUGCCUUCGGGAACGCAGAGACAGGUGCUGCAUGGCUGUCGUCAGCUCGUGUUGUGAAAUGUUGGGUUAAGUCCCGUAACGAGCGCAACCCUUGUCCUUAUUUGCCAGCGCGUAAUGGCGGGAACUCUAAGGAGACUGCCGGUGACAAACCGGAGGAAGGUGGGGACGACGUCAAGUCAUCAUGGCCCUUACGAGUAGGGCUACACACGUGCUACAAUGGCCGGUACAAAGGGUUGCGAGCUCGCGAGAGUCAGCUAAUCCCGAAAAGCCGGUCUCAGUCCGGAUCGGAGUCUGCAACUCGACUCCGUGAAGUCGGAAUCGCUAGUAAUCGUGAAUCAGAAUGUCACGGUGAAUACGUUCCCGGGCCUUGUACACACCGCCCGUCACACCAUGGGAGUGGACUGCACCAGAAGUGGUUAGCUUAUCCUUCGGGAAAGCGAUCACCACGGUGUGGUUCAUGACUGGGGUGAAGUCGAACAAGGAG
rnacentral:rRNA from 1 species